rnacentral:tRNA from 1 species
UCCAUUCUAUCUUAGAUGCUAAAGAAUCUGCCUGCGAUGCAGGUGACCUGGGUUCAAUCCCUGGAUUGAGA